rnacentral:rRNA from 1 species
UGCGUAGGCGGGCUAAUAAGUCAGUGGUGAAAUCUCUCGGCUCAACCGGGAAACUGCCAUUGAUACUGUUAGUCUUGAGUUCGGUUGAGGUAGGCGGAAUGUGUAAUGUAGCGGUGAAAUGCUUAGAUAUUACACAGAACACCAAUUGCGUAGGCAGCUUACUAGACCGACACUGACGCUGAGGCACGAAAGCGUGGGAAGCGAACAGGAUUAGAUACCCUGGUAGUCC